rnacentral:rRNA from 1 species
UACGAAGGGUGCAAACGUUGCUCGGAAUUAUUGGGCGUAAAGCGCACGUAGGCGGCAUUGCAAGUCGAAUGUGAAAUCCCUCGGCUUAACCAAGGAAGUGCAUCCGAAACUGCAGUGCUUGAGUACUUAAGAGGAUCGCGGAAUUCCCGGUGUAGAGGUGAAAUUCGUAGAUAUCGGGAGGAACACCAAUAGCGAAGGCAGCUCGCUGGGACGGUACUGACGCUGAGGAGCGAAAGCGUGGGGAGCGAACAGG